rnacentral:rRNA from 1 species
AGGAAAUUGCCCUGAUGUGGGGGAUAACCAUUGGAAACGAUGGCUAAUACCGCAUGAUGCCUACGGGCCAAAGAGGGGGACCUUCGGGCCUCUCGCGUCAGGAUAUGCCUAGGUGGGAUUAGCUAGUUGGUGAGGUAAGGGCUCACCAAGGCGACGAUCCCUAGCUGGUCUGAGAGGAUGAUCAGCCACACUGGAACUGAGACACGGUCCAGACUCCUACGGGAGGCAGCAGUGGGGAAUAUUGCACAAUGGGCGCAAGCCUGAUGCAGCCAUGCCGCGUGUGUGAAGAAGGCCUUCGGGUUGUAAAGCACUUUCAGUCGUGAGGAAGGUGGUGUAGUUAAUAGCUGCAUUAUUUGACGUUAGCGACAGAAGAAGCACCGGCUAACUCCGUGCCAGCAGCCGCGGUAAUACGGAGGGUGCGAGCGUUAAUCGGAAUUACUGGGCGUAAAGCGCAUGCAGGUGGUUUGUUAAGUCAGAUGUGAAAGCCCGGGGCUCAACCUCGGAAUAGCAUUUGAAACUGGCAGACUAGAGUACUGUAGAGGGGGGUAGAAUUUCAGGUGUAGCGGUGAAAUGCGUAGAGAUCUGAAGGAAUACCGGUGGCGAAGGCGGCCCCCUGGACAGAUACUGACACUCAGAUGCGAAAGCGUGGGGAGCAAACAGGAUUAGAUACCCUGGUAGUCCACGCCGUAAACGAUGUCUACUUGGAGGUUGUGGCCUUGAGCCGUGGCUUUCGGAGCUAACGCGUUAAGUAGACCGCCUGGGGAGUACGGUCGCAAGAUUAAAACUCAAAUGAAUUGACGGGGGCCCGCACAAGCGGUGGAGCAUGUGGUUUAAUUCGAUGCAACGCGAAGAACCUUACCUACUCUUGACAUCCAGAGAACUUUCCAGAGAUGGAUUGGUGCCUUCGGGAACUCUGAGACAGGUGCUGCAUGGCUGUCGUCAGCUCGUGUUGUGAAAUGUUGGGUUAAGUCCCGCAACGAGCGCAACCCUUAUCCUUGUUUGCCAGCGAGUAAUGUCGGGAACUCCAGGGAGACUGCCGGUGAUAAACCGGAGGAAGGUGGGGACGACGUCAAGUCAUCAUGGCCCUUACGAGUAGGGCUACACACGUGCUACAAUGGCGCAUACAGAGGGCGGCCAACUUGCGAAAGUGAGCGAAUCCCAAAAAGUGCGUCGUAGUCCGGAUUGGAGUCUGCAACUCGACUCCAUGAAGUCGGAAUCGCUAGUAAUCGUGGAUCAGAAUGCCACGGUGAAUACGUUCCCGGGCCUUGUACACACCGCCCGUCACACCAUGGGAGUGGGCUGCAAAAGAAGUA